AAUUACAAUGGCUUAUAACUUAGUUUUACAUGUUCAUGCUUCAUUAUAUUUCACUUGUUUUAUUUUGUAUUAGAAUAGUGUAAUAUGAGAGAAGCUGGAGUAAUUGGAAAUAUAAUUUGUAGGUUUGUGGGUAAUGAGUGCACGCUGACAUAGGAGAGUGAGCGGACGUCAGACACACAGAGGGGUGGUGUUUGAAGGGCGUGCGUGUGCAGCUGCCUUAUUUAACCCGGAUUUUCUCUCAAGAUGGUGACACGUGCCAGUGGAAGCUUAAUGGCUGCCGGAAGGUGGUCGUGAGGGCCAGAAACACUUACAAUAUUGACAAAUGACCCACCUGCUGCUUGGCCACCUGGCGGACUGGUCACAGACGCCAUGGUGCAAUAGGAGACUACCCCAUCCCGUGCCUCCCGCCCUGCCCCACCCAGACACCAUGGCCCGGCAGCGACACCAUUCCACCUGCUACAUGAUGCUGGCUGACGCACUCCUGACGUGGCAGCGACAGGAGGCGGAGGGCAGGAGCAAGAGUCGGAUGGUGAAGAAAGGCGUGAUGGCGGAGGUGGUGGCUGUGGAGGGUGUUCGUGCAGGGUACCUCGGCAGGGUCUAGGUUUGCAGUAAACCUCCCUGAAGGUUCCAGAGCUGGUCAGCAGGUGCCCAGUCCAGGCUGUCACAAGACUGUGUGAUGGUGGACCUUCCACUGAUACUCACUGAAAACAGCUGUGCACUGCCACUCACAGGAAAUGGGCCUGAUGUGAAGGUGUCUGCAGCCAGUGUUUGGUGUCCUCUGUGCCUGCCUGGUGGUGCCUCAUUGCAGGGCCUGAUGUGAAGGUGUCUGCAGCCAGUGGUGGUGCCUCAUUGCAGGGCCUGAUGUGAAGGUGUCUGCAGCCAGUGGUGGUGCCUCAUUGCAGGGCUGAUGUGAAGGUGUCUGCAGCCAGUGGUGGGUGUCCUCUGUGCCUGGUGGUGCCUCAUUGCAGGGCUGAUGUGAAGGUGUCUGCAGCCAGUGGUGGUGCCUCAUUGCAGGGCUGAUGUGAAGGUGUCUGCAGCCAGUGGUGGUGCCUCAUUGCAGGGCUGAUGUGAAGGUGUCUGCAGCCAGUGGUGGUGCCUCAUUGCAGGGCUGAUGUGAAGGUGUCUGCAGCCAGUGGUGGGUGUACUCUCUUCCUGGUGGUGCAGCCUGAUGUGUUGCCUGCUUCAGUGUAAAUCUUGCAAGCCAGAUCUGCCAGCUGUCUCCAGUGUAGUAGUCUAGGGUGCUUUGCUUUGUGUCUUUGGCAAUAAAUAAAUUUGUGAGUAUCAUUCUCAUGUGAAUUAUAUAGUUUGAUAAAAUUACAGAAUGUGCUUGUGUAAACUAAAUUUAUAUAUUGGUGGUAAACAAUUCAUGCAUCCCCAAGUAAAUAAAUAAAAUAAAAUAGGACCCAAAACAAUAGAUACUCGUACAAU